CCGCUCGCUGGGCCAUUCCAGAGACCGCAACACCAGCACCUCACCUGCUCUCUCUCUCUCUCUCUCUCACCCCGCUCUCUCUCGAAACCCCAACAUUCCCUCCUCCCUCGCCGUCCAGUUUUAUCAGGGUUCUAGAACAAUCCUUUCUUCAAGGGUUUCGUCGACGUCGCUCUCCUCCUCCUGCUGGUGCUCCCAUGGCGGCCGCCGUCACCGCGUCCGCCCCCCCAGCCCGCUCCUCGUCCUCGAAGACGGAGAGCUACGUCGACAACAAGCGGCGCGACGACGUCCGUCGGGCCAACAUUGUCGCCGCCCGCGCGGUGGCGGAUGCCGUGCGGACCAGCCUCGGCCCCAAGGGCAUGGAUAAGAUGAUCGCCUCUGCCUCAGGCGAGGUCAUCAUUACCAACGACGGCGCCACCAUCCUCAACAAGAUGGAGGUCCUCCAGCCUGCAGCCAAGAUGCUCGUGGAUCUCUCCCGCUCCCAGGACGCCGCCGCCGGCGACGGCACCACCACCGUGGUCGUCUUCGCUGGCUCCCUCCUCCACCGCUCCCUCUCCCUCCUCUCCGCCGGCAUACACCCCACUGUCGUCUCCGAUGCCCUCCACCGCCUCUCCGUGCGCGCCGUCGACGUCCUCCAUGGCAUGGCCAUCCCUCUCGACCUCUCCGACCGCGACUCCCUCGUCAAGUCCGCCGCUACCUCCCUUAACAGCAAGGUCGUCAGCCAGUACUCCUCCCUUCUCGCUCCCCUCGCCGUCGACGCUGUCCUUUCCGUCGUCGACCCCGCCCACCCCGAUCUCGUCGACCUUCGCGAUGUGAAGAUCGUCAAGAAGCUCGGCGGCACCGUAGAUGACACCGAGCUUGUCAGAGGCCUUGUCUUCGAUAAGAAGGUCAGCCAUGCCGCCGGAGGCCCUACCCGUGUGGAGAAUGCUAAGAUCGCCGUCAUCCAGUUCCAGAUCUCCCCACCCAAGACCGACAUCGAGCAGAGCAUUGUCGUCUCCGACUACACUCAGAUGGAUCGCAUCCUCAGGGAGGAGCGCAACUAUAUUCUUGGCGUGGUGAAAAAGAUCAAGGCUACCGGCUGCAAUGUGCUUCUCAUCCAGAAGAGCAUUCUAAGGGAUGCUGUUACCGACCUUUCGUUGCACUACUUGGCCAAGGCCAAGAUUUUGGUGGUCAAGGAUGUGGAGAGGGAUGAGAUCGAGUUCAUCACGAAGACGCUGAACUGCCUGCCUAUCGCCAAUAUCGAGCAUUUCCGGGAGGAGAAGCUGGGAUUUGCUGACUUGGUGGAGGAGGUCUCGGUUGGCGAUGGGAAGAUUGUGAAGAUCACGGGGAUCAAGAACAUGGGGAGGACCACGACUGUGCUUGUCCGGGGAUCGAAUCAGCUCGUCAUUGACGAGGCGGAGCGGAGCCUUCACGAUGCCCUCUGUGUUGUCAGUCUUCUAGACCUCUCGAUGUUGGUCCCUUUGCCUCCAACUCCAUCUAGAAGAGCACUAGCCCCUGACCGCCGCCGCCGCCUCCUCCUCCUCCUGCACCAUUGACAGAGAUCGGGGCGGAGUACGUAGUGGCGGCGGCAGCAAUCAAUGUGAACAUGUGGCGGCUGGCGGAGGAGCAAGUGUGGAAGAUUGGGAGGCUCGGGGAGGGUGGGUGCGGGACACAAUCUCUUGCUUGGCUUCAUCUACAUCCAAUUUCCAGCUGUUCUAACAAAUUCCAAGAGGUAAUACCAGUGGAGAUCCAUACAUCCCCUCCUCUUCCGUUCCCAGGGGUCGGCGCAGUAGCGAUCGUCGGAGAGGGACUUGAGGUGGAGGAGUGCCCAGCAAUUGCUGAUGGAGCUGGGGGUGGCAUGAGCGGCAAUGCUGGUGAGCUUAGAGUGAAGAUGCUUGGUGAAUAAGAGAUUUCUGAUUGCUGGUGGAGGUGCACCGGAAAUUGAGAUGUCAAGGCAACUAGGAGCAUGGGCAAAGGAACUGCAAGGGAUGGAGAGCUACUGUGUAAAGGAGUUUGCAGAGGCACUGGAGGUCAUUCCCUACACUUUGGCUGAGAAUGCAGGGCUAAAGCCAAUAGCCAUCGUAACAGAGCUAAGGAAUCGGCAUGCCCAGGGUGAGAUCAGUGCUGGGAUUAAUGUGAGGAAGGGCCAGAUAACAAACAUAUUGGAGGAGAACGUUCUGCAGCCACUACUGGUUAGUACUAGUGCAAUUACACUAGCAACUGAAUGUGUAAGGAUGAUCUUGAAGAUUGAUGACAUAAUCACUGUGAGGUAGAAUGGAGAUAUGCCAACUGUUGUGGUUGUUUGGAACCUUAGAUGGUUUUGUUUAGCUUAAAAACCCUUCUAAUGUAUGGAAUGAAAUGUUGGGAGAGUGGUAGUUGUGGUUGUUUUACUAUGCCUGCAUAUUCUGGCUUCAUGGUUUUCAUGUGUCCUUUAAUCCCUGUACUUCUGUACAAACUGUUUUGCCUUACUCUGCUGCCAUGAAGUACUGGGAUGCAACUGAAGCUAUUGCUGUUUUCGCUUUUGUUACAUGCUUGGUGUUUCAACUUUCAAAGUAUUAUUUUCUGAU